rnacentral:lncRNA from 1 species
UCAAAUGCUGGCCUUGCUGAGAGGGGAUGGAUAAAUCCACGUUAUCUUUCAGAUAGCCGCUCUUCUGUUUAUAAUCGAAUCAAGCAAGAGCAGCUGGUGAUACAAUGCGGUGUCAUGGCAUUUUGCAUGCCACUGCUGCAGGAAGCGGCCUACGAGGGCUGGCUGAAGAGCCAGAAGAAAGCCUUACAUCUCAAGUGUGUGAGCUAUCUAGAAGGGCAGGCUCACAAAUGCAGACGCUGCGGAGAAGGGGACUUCAUUUCAUUUCACCGCCACACCGUGGAAAUGAUGCUGGAGAGCAUCGAGUCUCAGGAAAACAUUUCUGAGCAGCACAAGGAAUACCCAUUCAGCGAAGCAGCCUCACUGAUCAUUUACACAACCCUGAAAAGGCUUCAGGGUCCUUCAUUUGAAGGGAUGGAGAGAAAAGCUGUGACAGCCGAGGCUUCCCUAACCAGCACAUGCUCCCCUGAAAGUGUCCAGAGGACAAGUGAAGGUAAAACGUCCCAUCAGAUACAGAACUCACAGUAACCUGGAGGGAACGAGGCAAGACCACCACACUCAAACCCAGGGAGCUGCGGAGAGAAAGAGGGGUGAAAAAGGAAGUGGCUGAAAGGGGGAGAGAUUGAGUGAAAUAGUAUGGGUGAAGGUAUGAGACAGAGCACAAAAAAGAAAAUGAAAGAGGCAGGUAAAGUAUUGGUAUGGAGAGUGGAGAAGGAUUCAAGGGCAGUGUAGUACUAGUAGCACAUACUCACCUAGUGGGCACCCCUCAUGCUGCCUUGCACAGGGUCCUUGUCUCUGGCCUCACCUACUGGGCUCACUCCCUGCCCUUCAAUGGCCUUUCUCAGGCUUCCUCUUUGCCCCUUCUGGGUACGCUGUGGCAUGGCCAUCUGACCAAGGCACAUGGAAAUUUAACCCCCUUUCAGGGAUAACAUGAAGAAGUCCAAAUGAAAGUCCAAUCAGAUCUUCAAACUAAUACCUCUUCUGCAGCCUCAGGGUCCACUGUAUUUCCCUUGCUGGCCCUGCCUCAGGACUUCUCCUGCAGAGGCCAAACCCACUCCUGUAGAGUUCUUCCUCUGGUGCUUCCUGUCUGUUAAACCUGCUGCUAGGGCUUUGCUCCAUCAGAAACCAGUGUCCACAGUAGUCUGUCCCCACCUGAGCACCCUCAGUCUACUUAAAAUGUCUUGCUCUGCUUCCUCUGGCCAGGAGGCAAUUAGUUAAUCACUCCCAAGUGUGGAGUAUGACUAAUCCGGGUUCUUUCCCUUGCCUUGCAGGUGAUGGGGAGAAAACCCCCUCACAGGCUUUUUUGCUGCCCCAAGCAAAAAAAAAAAACCAAAAACAAACAAACAAAAGAAAACAAACGGGGCAGCAAAAAACGGCAAAAGCAAAAAAAAAAAAAAACCUGCGGCGUGGCCGGAGCCAGGGUGCAGGGGGACUUCCAGCACUGCAGAUGUGCCCCAAGGGGGAGGGGGCGGCCAGAGCGGAACAACAACAACAA